UGCGCGCCGGGCUCACUUUUCUACCGCCGCGGGCGAGCGGCUGGUGGAUCUCACCCUUGAUAAGAGCCGCCAGCCGCCAGCCGGCCUCGGUGGCUGGGUUUGCCUGAACUCAGGAGAAGCCAAGAUGCCCCUAGGUGCCUGGGACUUGUUAGCUGGACGGCGUUGCGCGGAGCCCAGGCUGAAGCGGGGCUGGAG